UACGUAGGGGGCAAGCGUUGUCCGGAUUUAUUGGGCGUAAAGAGCGUGUAGGCGGCCAGGUAGGUCCGUUGUGAAAACUCGAGGCUCAACCUCGAGACGUCGGCGGAAACCAUCUGGCUAGAGUCCGGAAGAGGAGAGUGGAAUUCCUGGUGUAGCGGUGAAAUGCGCAGAUAUCAGGAAGAACACCCGUGGCGAAGGCGGCUCUCUGGGACGGUACUGACGCUGAGACGCGAAAGCGUGGGGAGCAAACAGG
rnacentral:rRNA from 1 species